GUCAGGUAGAGAAUACCAAGGAGAUCGAGAGAAUCGUGGUUAAGGAACUCGGCAAAAUGCCCCCGUAACUUCGGGAGAAGGGGGGCCUGAGGCGUGAAGGGAUUUACUCCUGGAGCGUUUGAAGGCCGCAGAGACCAGUGGGAAGCGACUGUUUACUAAAAACACAGGUCCGUGCUAAGUCGCAAGACGAUGUAUACGGACUGACGCCUCCCCGGUGCUGGAAGGUUAAGAGGAACGGUUAGCCGUAAGGCGAAGCUGAGAAUUUAAGCCCCAGUAAACGGCGGUGGUAACUAUAACCAUCCUAAGGUAGCGAAAUUCCUUGUCGGGUAAGUUCCGACCUGCACGAAUGGCGUAACGACUUCCCAGCUGUCUCAACCGCGAACUCGGCGAAAUUGCACUACGAGUAAAGAUGCUCGUUACGCGCAGAAGGACGGAAAGACCCCGUGACCUUUACUAUAGCUUUGUAUUGGUGUUCGGUGUGGCUUGUGUAGGAUAGGUGGGAGACUUUGAAGCUUGGACGCUAGUUCAGGUGGAGUCAUUGUUGAAAUACCACUCUGGUCACUCUGGAUAUCUAACUUCGGACCGUAAUCCGGUUCAGGGACAGUGCAUGGUGGGUAGUUUAACUGGGGCGGUUGCCUCCCAAAAAGUAACGGAGGCGCCCAAAGGUUCCCUCAACCUGGUUGGUAAUCAGGUGUCGAGUGUAAGUGCACAAGGGAGCUUGACUGUGAGAGUGACAACUCGAGCAGGGACGAAAGUCGGGACUAGUGAUCCGGCAGUGGCUUGUGGAAGCGCUGUCGCUCAACGGAUAAAAGGUACCUCGGGGAUAACAGGCUGAUCUUGCCCAAGAGUCCAUAUCGACGGCAUGGUUUGGCACCUCGAUGUCGGCUCGUCGCAUCCUGGGGCUGGAGUAGGUCCCAAGGGUUGGGCUGUUCGCCCAUUAAAGCGGUACGCGAGCUGGGUUUAGAACGUCGUGAGACAGUUCGGUCCCUAUCCUCUGCGCGCGCAGGAAAUUUGAGAAGAGCUAUCCCUAGUACGAGAGGACCGGGAUGGACGAACCUCUGGUGUGUCAGUUGUUCCGCCAGGAGCACCGCUGAUUAGCUACGUUCGGAACGGAUAACCGCUGAAAGCAUCUAAGCGGGAAGCCGGCUUCAAGAUGAGAUUUCCAUGGCUUAGGCCGAGAGACCCGCAGCUAGACUACUGCGUUGAUAGGCUGGAUGUGGAAGUGGGGACUAAAGACCCAUGGAGCUGACCAGUACUAAUAGGUCGAUAAAUUG
rnacentral:rRNA from 1 species